GACGAACGCUGGCGGCGUGCCUAAUACAUGCAAGUUGAGCGCUGACGGUUGGUACUUGUACCGACUGGAUGAGCAGCGAACGGGUGAGUAACGCGUGGGGAAUCUGCCUUUGAGCGGGGGACAACAUUUGGAAACGAAUGCUAAUACCGCAUAAAAACUUUAAACACAAGUUUUAAGUUUGAAAGAUGCAAUUGCAUCACUCAAAGAUGAUCCCGCGUUGUAUUAGCUAGUUGGUGAGGUAAAGGCUCACCAAGGCGAUGAUACAUAGCCGACCUGAGAGGGUGAUCGGCCACAUUGGGACUGAGACACGGCCCAAACUCCUACGGGAGGCAGCAGUAGGGAAUCUUCGGCAAUGGACGAAAGUCUGACCGAGCAACGCCGCGUGAGUGAAGAAGGUUUUCGGAUCGUAAAACUCUGUUGGUAGAGAAGAACGUUGGUGAGAGUGGAAAGCUCAUCAAGUGACGGUAACUACCCAGAAAGGGACGGCUAACUACGUG
rnacentral:rRNA from 1 species